rnacentral:lncRNA from 1 species
GCAAGCCAGCAAAACAUAAAAAUAUCCCGACAGAUCUAUACUGCUUGCAGCUGUGGGGCGAGCUGAAGAACAGUUCAUUGUGAUCUGGAUAAAAAAGCAGUCAGGGAAAACUACGGGUCAGACUCAAGCUGUGAGUCAACAUACACGUAGAGGGUAAUGUGCUCAUCGUCUGUCCUCUGUGUUUGUGGCCUCGUGAGGUACUUCUGAAGGCCCGGAGCCAGUCAACAUGGGAAGAACACUGGGAUCUGAAUGGGAUUUAGGCUGGGUGCCUCUUUUUAAUGAAGUGGUGGACUCAGCUCCUGUGGGCAAAUCAUCAUUGAUAAGGAGAGACAAAGAGACACACCGUAUGUGAAUUUUCAACCGUCUUCACAGAAAAGAACUUCCAUCAAUACCUUAAACAGAAGUUGACUGGAAGGAAGCCACAGCAGUAUGUUAAGAGCUUUCACUGGGGCAGGUCUGAAAGACACAACAAAAAUGUUUCAUUUGGAAAAUACCAUGAGGACCUGCUGUAGGACUGCCAAAGUAAACCGUUUCAUUCUGGAGGAGGUCGAAGUGAAACAUCUGUCAGUCUAGUCAUCUUUGUGUCCUUCCACUGAAAAAUGGAGCCGAGGGGAAGGUACAGUUCAGCAAGAAAAGAAAAGGAAAUUCUCUCCCUUCUCUUAACUGUUUCUGAAAACCGAGCCAUCAUACUGAAGAGCCUGACUCGCAGACUUAGUGGGAAUUAUGCCUAAGCCAGGUAGCAAGAAAAGUUCCAUGGAAGACAACUUCCAAGUCAAACAAUUUCUGUAGGUCUGGGUUUGAAAUCCUCACCCUGGAAGUCUUAACUUCAGCCUUAACAUCAGCUAACUCAGUUUCUGGUCUUAUUAAAACAACAUGAGAAGGAAAAAAACCAGGCACCUCCCUCUCACUGCUGCAAUGUAAGUUAAUUCCAGUACUGUAAACACCCUAGGGUUACAUUCAUGUAACUUAAAUACCAAUAAGGGAAAUAAAAAAGCCUACAAUUAGUGAAUAGCUUUUUCUAAAAAAAGGUGAUUUUAUUGAGUUUUAAUAUACAGCUUUAAUAUGUUAGGGUAAUCAUACAAGAUCUCUCGUGUUCAAUUUACACAUUACAAUACAGACGUGAGCUAAAAUCUUUUGUUUUAAUGUACAAAAGGAAUCCAAUGUUGUCCACUAGCAGCUUUGAACUUGGCAAGAAAGGUUCUAGAGACUUUAAGUGCAGUAACAAC